rnacentral:rRNA from 1 species
GACGAACGCUGGCGGCGUGCUUAACACAUGCAAGUCGAACGGUGAUGCUCCAGCUUGCUGGAGUGGAUCAGUGGCGAACGGGUGAGUAACACGUGAGCAACCUGCCCCAGACUCUGGAAUAAGCGCUGGAAACGGCGUCUAAUACUGGAUACGAAACUGGCCCGCAUGGGCAUGGUUUGGAAAGUUUUUCGGUUUGGGAUGGGCUCGCGGCCUAUCAGCUUGUUGGUGAGGUAAUGGCUCACCAAGGCGACGACGGGUAGCCGGCCUAAGAGGGCGACCGGCCACACUGGGACUGAGACACGGCCCAGACUCCUACGGGAGGCAGCAGUGGGGAAUAUUGCACAAUGGGCGAAAGCCUGAUGCAGCGACGCCGCGUGAGGGAUGACGGCCUUCGGGUUGUAAACCUCUUUCAGCAGGGAAGAAGCGAAAGUGACGGUACCUGCAGAAGAAGCACCGGCUAACUACGUG